GCCAGUAAAUACAGUGGUAGAGCAUGAGACUCUUAAUCUCAGGGUUGUGCGUUCAAGCCCCACAUUGGGCU